rnacentral:rRNA from 1 species
CCUACGGGUGGCAGCAGUGAGGAAUAUUGGUCAAUGGGCGCGAGCCUGAACCAGCCAAGUCGCGUGAGGGAAGACGGUCCUAUGGAUUGUAAACCUCUUUUGUCGGGGAGCAAAAGACGCCACGCGUCGCGUUCCGAGAGGACCCGAAGAAAAAGCAUCGGCAAACACGGUGCCGGCAGCCGCGGUAAUCCGGAUGAUGCGGGCGUUAUCCGUAUUUAUUGGGUUAAAGGGGUGCGCAGGCGGAAGACCACGUCGGCGGUAAAAUCGAGGGGCUCAACCUCUUCGAGCCGUUGAAACUGGUUUUCUUGAGUGAGUGAGAGGUAUGCGGAAUGCGUGGUGUAGCGGUGAAAUGCAUAGAUAUCACGCAGAACACCGAUUGCGAAGGCAGCAUACCGGCGCUCAACUGACGCUCAUGCACGAAAGAGUGGGUAUCGAACAGGAUUAGAUACCCCUGUAGUC